CUGUCUCUUGGUUCCUCUCGGAAGUCCUGCCCUUGCCCUCGCUCUCAUUGCCUCCCCGUCCCUGUCUCCCCUGACACUCGUUCCUCCAGAAGCCCGGUAAACCCCGUCCUUACGAGCCCCGCCCCUAGCUCUUCUACUACGGAGGGGAACUGCAGAGCCAGAAGAGCACGGAGCAGCAACUCGCAGCCCAAUUGGUGACGCUGCAGAAUGAACUGGAGCUGGCGGAGACCAAAUGCGCCUUGCAGGAGGAGAAGCUGCAGCAGGACGCGCUGCAGACAGCGGAGGCCUGGGCCAUAUUCCAGGAGCAGACCGUAGUCCUGCAGGUGCGGCCCCACUCAGACGCCAAGGUGCCUCCCGCCUCUCCUCCCCCAGACCUGGGGCGGUGUGACGGGCAGCUUCGCAGAGUGCAGUACAGCACCGAGUCGCUCAUGGAGGAGAUGGCCAGGGCGGACCGAGAGACGCGGCUGUUCGGCGGUCCUCGCGCGCUGGCCAUCAGGCGCUGCUGACGCUGCCGCUCCUCUUCCUGGGGCUGUCGCUGCUCUGGACGGUGCUGUUGGACCCCGGCGCCGUCUCCGCGUGGCUCUGGAGCCUCACCUCGGAGACGACGCUGCGCCGCCUGCGCUACACGCUGUCCCCGCUGCUGGAGCUGCGCGCUAACGGGCUGCUGCCAACCUAAGUGCAGCGCCCCGCGCCUGGCUCCAGGUGGACUCCAGGGCACCGGCUUUAUUUCUGGUGCACUCCUCUCCUGAGAGUGUAGACCAAGGUCGCCUAAUAAACUCCUCAAGGGAUGAA
ensembl:lncRNA TMEM191A transmembrane protein 191A (pseudogene)